rnacentral:misc_RNA from 1 species
GGAAUUUUGCCCAAUGGACGAAAGUCUGAGGCAGCAACUCCGCGUGAGGGACGAAGGCUCUCGGGUCGUAAACCUCUUUUCUCAGGGAAGAUCCAAGACGGUACCUGAGGAAGAAGCCACGGCUAACUACGUGCCAGCAGCCGCGGUAAUACGUAGGUGGCAAGCGUUGUCCGGAUUUACUGGGCGUAAAGAGCGCGCAGGCGGCUGGUCAAGUCCGAUGUGAAAUCUCCCGGCUCAACUGGGAAACUGCAUCGGAAACUGAUCAGCUUGAAGGUGGGAGAGGGCAGUGGAAUUCCCGGUGUAGUGGUGAAAUGCGUAGAUAUCGGGAGGAACACCAGUGGCGAGGCGACUGCCUGGCCCAUUCUUGACGCUGAGGCGCGAAAGCUAGGGGAGCGAACGGGA